rnacentral:rRNA from 1 species
AUGAACGCUAGCUACAGGCUUAACACAUGCAAGUCGCGGGGCAGCAUGGGGGUUGCUUGCACUCCCCGCUGGCGACCGGCGCACGGGUGAGUAACGCGUAUCCAACCUGCCCUUCACCACGGGAUAACCCGGCGAAAGUCGGACUAAUACCGUAUGUUGUCCAUUGCCGGCAUCCGAUUUGGACGAAAGGCUUGGCGGUGAGGGAUGGGGAUGCGUCCGAUUAGCCAGACGGCGGGGUAACGGCCCACCGUGGCUACGAUCGGGAGGGGUUCUGAGAGGAAGGUCCCCCACACUGGAACUGGGACACGGUCCAGACUCCUACGGGAGGCAGCAGUGAGGAAUAUUGGUCAAUGGGCGUAAGCCUGAACCAGCCAAGUAGCGUGCAGGAUGACGGCCCUAUGGGUUGUAAACUGCUUUUAUGCGGGGAUAAAGUGGCCCACGUGUGGGCUUUUGCAGGUACCGCAUGAAUAAGGACCGGCUAAUUCCGUG